rnacentral:lncRNA from 1 species
AGGCCGCCAUCAGGGCUCGGGCGCAGCAGUGGGCGCGGGGCCAACCUCACAAGGCCUGGCCAGGCACAACCCCUGCUGCCGCGGCCCCGAAGCCCAGAGGUGCGCGCGUCGGAGCCUCGCUCUUACCAUGCUGCGCGAGGCGGCCUCCCUGUUUGAGUCUGGCGCCAACAACCGCGUGGGGUGGGAAGGACCGGAGGAAGUGCAGGGGAGAUGCAACGACCCCUGGCGGCCCUGGACAAACUGAAUCCUGCUCCUCUGGAUAGAGAUGCCGCUGGCUUCACGAGAGAUGUAAUCCGAGUGAACAUCUGAGAGUUCCAGUCUGUUCUGAAGUAGAAAACAUGACAUGAGCAUGACAGCUCAGAUAUGGCACAGGGAGACACUGUUUGAGAGGUGUUUUCUUGAAUUUGAGGACUGUGGUAACAAGUUUCUUUAAGAAGAAUAGACACACACACUUACCAUCAAGCUACCAGACACUGAACUCCCAGAGGACCGUUUGACCUAUUCUCUAGAUGGUUCUGUGGCUUGAAGUACAUAUCUGGCCAUUUGAUAUAAUACAGAAUAAUACAGAAUUCUUU